CUGAAACUUAAAGGAAUUGACGGAAGGGCACCACCAGGAGUGGAGCCUGUGGCUUAAUUUGACUCAACACGGGGAACCUCACCCGGCCCGGACACCGUUAGGAUUGACAGAUUGAGAGCUCUUUCUUGAUUCGGUGGGUGGUGGUGCAUGGCCGUUCUUAGUUGGUGGAGCGAUUUGUCUGGUUAAUUCCGAUAACGAACGAGACUCUAGCCUGCUAAAUAGCUCGGGGAUCCUUCGCGAGUCCCCGCUAGCUUCUUAGAGGGACAGGUGGCGCUUAGCCACACGAGAUUGAGCAAUAACAGGUCUGUGAUGCCCUUAGAUGUUCGGGGCCGCACAUGCGCUACAAUGAAUGGAUCAGCGUGCGUCUCGCCUGGUCCGAAAGGAUCGGGAAACCCGUUGAACCCCAUUCGUAAUAGGGAUUGGGGCUUGCAAUUAUUCCCCAUGAACGAGGAAUUCCCAGUAGGCGCGAGUCAUCAGCYCGCGUCGAUUACGUCCCUGCCCUUUGUACACACCGCCCGUCGCUACUACCGAUCGCUCCAGUUAAUGAGCUCUUCGGAUUGGACCCGUGGGCCCGCUUCGCGGCGGGCCGUCGGUGGCCGAGAAGAUGCGCAAAUUGACCGGGGUAGAGGUC
rnacentral:rRNA from 1 species